rnacentral:sRNA from 1 species
CUGAGCUAGAACCUACUCAGGAUUCAUUGGUGCAGUCUGAAGGUUACAUCCAAGAUAAGGCUUUAACUGCACCAGAGGAACAGAAGGCCUCCACAAGCACCAACAUAUGUGAGCUCUGUACCUGCGAAGAUAAGAUGCUGUCAUGUAUUGAUCUCAGCCCAAAGCAGAGGCUCCACCAAGUGCCUGUGCCAGAGCCCAACACCUACAAUGGCACCUUCACAGUCUUGAACAUGGAUGGAGCUGGAGGCCAUUAUCCUCCGCAAACUAACACAGGAGCAGAAAACCACAUACAGCAUGUUCUCAUGGAGACAUAGGACAUCAAUAAUAUAUGUGACAUGUACAGUGGUUUGGUCUGGAUGACUGGAAUGGGGUUGGGGAAGUGGAGGACUUCCAGAUGCAAAAACCAAGGCCAAACAGCUGAGUUUUCUGCCCUGGAGGAGGAAACUGGUCUCUGAAAGCCAGAAGACUCUCACAUUACAUCAUUCCUGCCAGCUGCUGUCAAGAGCUGCUAAGCUGUCCUCAAGUCCUGUGUCUGAUGUCAAGCUAAUAACAGAUUUAGGGUGCAUUAGUAAAGGUAUCUUAAUCAAGUCUAGGUGCCUUCGAGAUUAGACUCAGCCAUGAUGAGCAACUAAGGAUUAGCAAGAAAGAUUACAAAUUGUUUCCAGGAAUUUAUUUCUUUAAACACUGAUUAUAUGUAUAGUCUUAAGUCAAAUUAAAAUGUUGUUUAUGUUC